AUGCUGCUGCUCACUGCCUUUUGUUUGUGUGGCCUGGCUCAGCCUUGGGGGAGGGGGGGGGGGGGGGGGAUUAUAGCAGGGGGACAAGCUGCCACCCGGCUAGUAAGUGACAGUGUCACACCUUACACCGUGGAGGUAACCAACAUGGGAGAGAAGAAGGUGCAAUGGGGCUCGGUCUAGAACAGUGCUGCUGAGGGGGAUGUCACUGCAGGACGUUUCUACACAGUGGUUCUUCUGACCCAUCAUGUAGCAGAGGAGAACAAAUCCCUUCACGCCUGGGAACAAUCACACAAGGUAAGGUCAGCUACACCAAGAUGACGUGAUAAUACAUGAGAUUAUCAUGUUUUAAAGUCGCGUCGGGAAAGUGAGGUAAAGUCCGAAUGGGAAAGAUGUGUAAAGAGAGAAGGGAGGGUCUUGUUCCUUAGGGCACACCGUAGCAAAACAUGUCAAAGCGUGAAACCAUAACGAGCGUUUCUUAUUGGACAAGUUCAGAUGGUACCUCCCUAUUUGACAAAAUGUCUGACAAUUUUCUUUCAUUUAAUUCCUAAUGAACAAGACCUAUUUUUUUUUCUCCCAUAUGGCCUCCUGGAAUUUGCAAGCUUGUCACAGGACCAGACCUUAAUUCUGCACGGGAGUUAGACUCUUGCAAUAUGGCCAUUAUGGCCACCCAGGCUCAGGAAUCUGUGGAAGAAUCUGAGAUGGGUUUUCUGGUCAGCUUCCAGUUGCCUCUGGAGAAAAUGGAGAUCUCAGUCACUUCACUUCUCCAAACAUGAUUCUGUCACUACCUGGAAACACAGAUCAGACACUAUUUCAUCAUUCAUCAAACAUAAUUAUCUCAAAUGAAACCCCGCCUGAAACCACUCCUGACCACCCACUUCCUCUAUCUCUCUCCUGACCACCCACUUCCUCUAUCUCUCUCCUGACCACCCACUUCCUCUAUCUCACUCCUGACCACCCACUUCCUCUCUCUCUCUCUCCUGACCACCCACUUCCUCUAUCUCACUCCUGACCACCCACUUCCUCUCUCUAUCUCUCUCCUGACCACCCACUUCCUCUAUCUCUCCUGACCACCCACUUCCUCUAUCUCACUCCUGACCACCCACUUCCUCUCUCUCUCUCCUGACCACCCACUUCCUCUAUCUCUCUCCUGACCACCCACUUCCUCUAUCUCACUCCUGACCACCCACUUCCUCUCUCUAUCUCUCUCCUGACCACCCACUUCCUCUCUCUAUCUCUCUCCUGACCACCCACUUCCUCUAUCUCACUCCUGACCACCCACUUCCUCUCUCUCUCUCCUGACCACCCACUUCCUCUAUCUCUCUCCUGACCACCCACUUCCUCUAUCUUACUCCUGACUACCCACUUCCUCUCUCUAUCUCUCUCCUGACCACCCACUUCCUCUAUCUCACUCCUGACCACCCACUUCCUCUCUCUCUCUCCUGACCACCCACUUCCUCUCUCUCUCUCCUGACCACCCACUUCCUCUAUCUCACUCCUGACCACCCACUUCCUCUCUCUAUCUCUCUCCUGACCACCCACUUCCUCUCUCUCUCUCCUGCUCCAGCCACUUCCUCUAUCUCACUCCUGACCACCCACUUCCUCUCUCUCUCUCCUGCUCCAGCCACUUCCUCUCUCUCUCUCCUGACCACCCACUUCCUCUAUCUCUCUCCUGCUCCAGCCACUUCCUCUAUCUCUCUCCUGCUCCAGCCACAUCCAUUAGGCCACCUUUGUCACGGUGUGGCUUUGUUGUGAUGGAGCACGUGUUGAAGGGUCUCGUCUGUGUUCCCCUCUCCACCUCUCCCAUGUGUCAGCUUUGUGAGGUCACCACUAUGGCUUCACUUUGUGAGGUUUAAGGACAAAUCUGUUCUCUGCUGCUCUGGGCUCUUGAAUUGACCUGGAAGUCCUCCGAAAAACCCCUUAAGGCAUCAGCAUGCUUCGGUUCGGCUCGGCGAACGGAAUGAGUGUGCUCUCAUACUCCCUUAAAAUACGUUUGCUUGAAAAAUGUGAAAAAAGCGGCAAUAGUACUGUUUGUCUAUCUUGAGACGCCGAAACCAGACUGAAUUAAUCUUUUCAUGUUUUUGCCGAGAAUUCUACAACUAACUAAGAUGUUUGGUGC
rnacentral:lncRNA from 8 species